UUCCCUCAGUAAUGGCGAAUGCAUGGGGAUAGGCUUAGCGUGGAACUCGGGGCUUCCAGUCUGAAUUGUAGCCUCUGGAUGUGCAACCAGCGAAGGCGCAGCUGUAGGCCCUUGGGAAAGAGCGUCGGUGAGGGCGAUAACCCUCUAUGUUCCCUGCAGGCCUCGGUGUACAGUGCACAAUCUAAGAGUCACACUCCUUGGGAAUGGUGUGCGAAGCAGGUGGCAGUGUUCGCUUAAAGCUGAACAUGCGCUUAAGACCGAUAGCAAACAAGUACCUUGAGGGAAAGGUGAAACAGGACUUUGAAAAGAUAGAUAAUACUGCCUGAUCAUGUUGAUAAGGAAGUGGGUGAGCUCAGCGAUACUUGGCGAGAUUACCACAUGGGGAUGUGCUGGGUCGCUGCCUGUUUGGAAGAAUGGCAAUAAACCCUGAGCGGCAUAUGUGUAGCGCGUCUUGCCCUGGCGACCAGUAUGAGUUCGCAGCCCGAGGGCAUCGGCAGGAAGCUGGAAUAAUGCUCUUUGGGCAUAUUGAUAUAUCAGCCUUUGCUCGCGUGCGUGCUCUUGGUGGAUUCAUGGCUUGCCCACCCCGUCUUGAAACACGGAUCAAGGAGUCUGACAUGCGUGCGAGCUCGUUGGUGGCAAAAGCUUGUGUGCAUUGUGAAAAUGUUAGUUGGGAUUGGUGCACCAACAACUGGCAAGUCGACUGGAAUGUCUGAGUGUGAGUGCGCAUGAUAGGACCCGAAAGAUGGUGAACUAUGCCUGUGAAAAGCAAAGUCAGAGGAAACUUUGAUGGAGGCUUGCAGCGAUAUUGACGUGCAAAUUGUUCGUUAUACAUGGGGAUAGGGGUGAAAGACUAAUCGAACCAUCU
rnacentral:rRNA from 1 species